GUCGAGUGCGCGCCUGUAGCAAUACAGGUGGCGCACGGCGCACGGGUGCGUAACACGUGGGUAAUCUGCCCUUCGAUGGGGAAUAACCCCGGGAAACCGGGGCUAAUUCCGCAUAACAUUCCGAGAACUCCGGUUUUUGGACUCAAAGGCGUAAGUCGUCGGAGGAGGAGCCCGCGCACGAUUAGCUAGUUGGUGAGGUAAUGGCUCACCAAGGCUAUGAUCGUUAGCUGGUCUGAGAGGAUGGCCAGCCACACUGGAACUGAGACACGGUCCAGACUCCUACGGGAGGCAGCAGUGGGGAAUCUUGCACAAUGGGCGAAAGCCUGAUGCAGCGACGCCGCGUGGGGGAUGAAGCUUCUCGGAGUGUAAACCCCUUUCGACCCGGACGAAUACCUCGCAAGAGGGGUGACGGUACGGGUAUAAGAAGCCCCGGCUAACUACGUGCCAGCAGCCGCGGUAAGACGUAGGGGGCCAGCGUUGUUCGGAAUUACUGGGUGUAAAGGGUUCGUAGGCGGUGUGGCAAGUCGGGAGUGAAAUCUCUGGGCUCAACUCAGAGGCUGCUUCCGAAACUGCUGUGCUUGAGUGUGGGAGAGGCGCGUGGAAUUGCAGGUGUAGCGGUGAAAUGCGUAGAUAUCUGCAGGAACACCCGUGGCGAAAGCGGCGCGCUGGACCACUACUGACGCUGAGGAACGAAAGCUAGGGGAGCAAACAGGAUUAGAUACCCUG
rnacentral:rRNA from 1 species